rnacentral:rRNA from 1 species
UACGAAGGGGGCUAGCGUUGCUCGGAAUUACUGGGCGUAAAGAGCGCGUAGGCGGCGCGGUACGACCGCUGUGAAAGCCCCCAGCUCAACUGGGGAGGGUCAGCGGUAACGGCCGUGCUAUGAGUGCAGGAGAGGGAAGUGGAACUCCGGGAGUAGCGGUGAAAUGCGUAGAGACCCGGAGGAACACCAGUGGCGAAGGCGGCUUCCUGGUCUGCGACUGACGCUGUGGCGCGAAAGCUAGGGGAGCAAACGGG